AGAGUUUGAUCAUGGCUCAGGAUGUACGCUGGCGGUAUGCCUAACACAUGCAAGUCGAACGAUGUCUUCGGACAUAGUGGCGGACGGGUGAGUAACGCGUGAGAAUCUGCCUCUAGGAUGGGGAUAACGGUUGGAAACGACCGCUAACACCCAAUAUGCCGUAAGGUGAAAAAUUUAUUGCCUGGAGAGGAGCUCGCGUCUGAUUAGCUAGUUGGUGGGGUAAGAGCUCACCAAGGCUUCGAUCAGUAGCUGGUCUGAGAGGAUGAGCAGCCACACUGGGACUGAGACACGGCCCAGACUCCUACGGGAGGCAGCAGUGGGGAAUUUUCCGCAAUGGGCGAAAGCCUGACGAAGCAAUACCGCGUGAGGGAGGAAUGCCUUUGGGUUGUAAACCUCUUUUCUCAGGGAAGAAGAUCUGACGGUACCUGAGGAAUAAGUAUCGGCUAACUCCGUGCCAGCAGCCGCGGUAAUACGGAGGAUGCAAGCGUUAUCCGGAAUCAUUGGGCGUAAAGCGUCCGCAGGUGGUUUCCAAAGUCUGCUGUUAAAGACUGGAGCUCAACUCCGGAACGGCGGUGGAAACUUGGAAACUAGAGUUCGGUAGGGGUAGCAGGAAUUCCCAGUGUAGCGGUGAAAUGCGUAGAUAUUGGGAAGAACAUCGGUGGCGAAGGCGUGCUACUGGACCGUAACUGACACUCAGGGACGAAAGCUAGGGGAGCGAAAGGGAUUAGAUACCCCUGUAGUCCUAGCUGUAAACGAUGGAAACUAGGUGUGGCUUGUAUCGACCCGAGCCGUGCCGUA
rnacentral:rRNA from 1 species